rnacentral:lncRNA from 1 species
ACCCCUUAGUUUCUGGAAGAGAAAAAGGAAAAGCCACCGAGAGGCCUGACCCUGAGGGGUCGGGGGGAGAUGCGGGCGCGUAGUAGAGGGAAGCGACUGAGGAGCGGGGACUGGGCAGCAUUUGAAUGGAUGCGGGUGCCGCUGGCACCCGGGAAGACGCCCGGGAGCCGGCGCUGGGGAGCCGGGCAUGGGCUGGGAUGUGUUUGGAUUCCAAUCUGGGCCUGACACCAGUUCAGUGACCUCGGGAAGUUCCCCAACCCUGCGGGCCUGUUUCCUCCCUCUGAAGUGGCGACAGUAGUAGAACCGACCUCGUAGGCUCAUCGGGAGGUCCUGAUGGGAGAACCCAUGCAACUUGCCGCCACAGAGCCAGGCCCGCGGCGAUUGGCUCCUGGUGGGUAUUAAAGACGAGUCGGGAAAGAAGAGCAGGUUGAUAGACUGGAUGCUGCUAUGGUAAUCUGCCUCAGGAAAAUGCCGGACUGUUGUUUGCAAGCUGGUUAAGUGAGCAAAUCUUGGGAAGAUUUC